GUGGCCUUUCUCCCUUUUGCCACUGAGGGCUGCACAGAAGCAUGUCCACAACACAUGUCCUCACUCUGUGACCAACCCUGCUUUGUAGCACACAAUGCACUUUCAUCACAAGGCCCCAAGAUGACAAAACUGAGGCUCAGAGAGGGGAAGGAAGAUGCUUACCCCAAGUCACAUAGCAAGUUAGGCAGGAGACUGGGCACAAGACCUCCUGACUUCCGCACCACCACAACCCUCAAAUUUUUUUUAAUGAGUGUUUUUCUUUAAAACAUAGUAUGAACACUGGAACAGAGGGAAAUGCAGUAUUCCAAUUUCCAUCCACAGUGUUGUCCGACCUGGCAUCUCACUGGAGUCCCCAAGCACAGGCCCUGGCAGCAGACCAGGCUGGGUUCAAGUCCUACUCCUGCCUUUUGCUAGCCCCACGGCUUUGGCAAAUUACUGCAGUUGGAAUUAUUAACUGUUGGAAUUAUUAAAUUGUUGGAAUUAUUAAGUGAACUAAUGGGCACAGACAUUUUGUUCCACACUUAGCAUAUAGUAAGCACCCAAUUAUUGCUAUUGCCAUUAGCAGCUCCGGCACUUACCUGCCAGGUGUGCAAGGCCCUCAACUGCUAAGCCUUCUGUCUCAAAUGAGACAUCACCAAGAUUUCUCCUAACUCCAGAGCCCUGUAGUCUCCACCACCUGGCCCAAAUGAAACGAUGGACCCCAGAAU
rnacentral:lncRNA from 10 species